rnacentral:rRNA from 1 species
UACGGGGGGGGCAAGCGUUAUCCGGAAUUAUGGGGCGUAAAGAGCUCGUAGGCGGUUUGUCGCGUCUGCUGUGAAAACUGGAGGCUCAACCUCCAGCCUGCAGUGGGUACGGGCAGACUAGAGUGCGGUAGGGGAGAUUGGAAUUCCUGGUGUAGCGGUGGAAUGCGCAGAUAUCAGGAGGAACACCAAUGGCGAAGGCAGGUCUCUGGGCCGAUACUGACGCUGAGGAGCGAAAGCGUGGGGAGCGAACAGG